UUGAAUUGUGUACUUGUUCUUAUGCAGUGUGGUUUUGUCAAAAUAAUGAUGUUCUUUCAUUAUAGCAUGGAGCCUCAAGUUUUGGUUGCAUAUUUCAUUUUGAAGCAUGUUUUCUUGAUAUUAUUUCAUCUGGUGUUAUAAUUUUCUUUCACUUGUUUGAUCUUCUGACUUUGUAUUCUGGUUCUUUUUUUUUUCUGGUUUUUUGAUUGUGAGGUUUGAUACAUGUUAAUUGAAAAACGACAUUGUUUUCUAUAGUGCGGUGUGUUUUGAAACAAUAACAUUUGAGUAGUAUCAAGCCUCAGGUUUAUUUUGGAACCUCUACUUGGAAUGCAAAUUAUUUUCAUUUCAUUUAUUAUUUGCCGAUUCUUAUUGUUCUGGAUUUGUUUCUUUAUGAUUUACUAUUAAUACUUAUUUUUUCUUAUGAAUGUUCACGUACUUCCCGUUCAGCCUAUAAUGUGUGGCUUGCAAGGGAUCCAGUGGCAGGAAGAGGUUCACAUACUUCCUUCCCAGCCUUGGGAUAAAACAAUUGAUUUACUUACAUGUGUGUAUUUGUUUUAGGAUAGUGUUGAAAGCGAAAAUUGGGAUAAAACAAUUGAAUUACUUACAUGUGUGGCUUGCAAAUUGGUUGGAAAUUUGGUCAACUCUUCUAAGAAUCUUUAUAUUUCAGUCUUUUUUUGAUACUCAGCAUAUAUUUUUUUCAGUUCCUGAGUUUUCUUUGUGGGUGUUACAGGGGAGAGAGCCUAUAAAUAUGUGUUUUACUGUGGAACCCAUGGCAAACAGAGGCUCAAUGUUUUUAUUUUUACUUGGUUACUUUGGUCUCCUGAUGUUGAGAACCCGAGUACUCUAACAAAGAUUAGAAGAUUUUCGAAUGACUCUUUUAUCUUUCCCAAGAUGAGGAAUUUUGGACAACUUGGUUACAUAAACCUGAUUCUGACUAUUUGUUUGUUAGCGAUAACUUAACUUUGCCCGGGGAGGUUUCUAAAUCUUCUUUACUGUUUUGUUGUUUUUAUUAUGAUUAGUGAUUUAUGAUGAUGAUACACCUAAUAAGAUACCCUCUUCAUUACAGUGGCCAAAGGACUCCUCAUUAGGUGGAAGCCAAAAUUGUAUUAUUUAAUAUGGCUACAUGAUCUUGCAAAUUGGUGUCUUUUGAUGCAUGUCUACUUUUCAGUCAGUUGAAGUUUUGGAUAUCUUUUGAUACAAUUGGAUAAGAAAGGAGAGUACAGAUAAUUCAAAUUUCUUCAAUGAAAUUCUAUUUACUAUUUUUAAUCCAGAUAUUUCAAAUUUCUUCAUUGAGUUGCUAUAUACUAUUUUUAUUUUCAGACUUUGUCAUAAGACAUACUAAUUGAAUUGUGAACUACUUUUCUGCAGCGUGGUUUGUCAUAGAGCUUUCAGUUUUUAUUUGGUGAUAUCUAGUAAAUUCCUUUAGUUUCAGUAUUUGUUCAUCAAUUUUGAGAGCAUAUAUUUAUUGAUUUGUUAUUUUUCUCAUUUUUCUCUUUGGUUUUGCAGGAGAGGUAAUCUAAAUGCAAACAAUUCCUUCGUGAUCUUCCUCUUGUUUGAUUUUUAGUUUUUGUUUUGACACUCUUUUUUCCCUGGUUACUUUGGUUUUGAUCUUGAAGUUUGCUGUUCUUAUUUUAAUAAUCUGCAGCUACUAAUUAAUGAGUUAUUUGUUUUCACAAUAUUGAGAUAUUCUCUCAAUCAAGUUUAUUUUGGUACACUUCUUGCAAUGUGAAUUAUUUUCGAUUCAUUUUCUCUAGAGUUUUAAAUUCUUUUGUUUUUCAAUAUUUCAUCUGUAUUGUUAUUAUUUUCUAGUUGAUUAUUUUGGGUUCUUGCUUCUGAUAUUUUAUUUGGUUGUUGUUGGUUUCAAACUUGGAGUUUGGCGCGCUUAUUUUAAUGUGAUACACUACUAUUAUAGAGUUCGUUAGGUUUUUAGUCGACUUGUUUGCUAAUUCCUCUUUUGCAUCAAAUAUUAUUCUUCGUUUGAGCAUGUACAUAUCGUGUUUUGCUUUUAAUAUAUUUAUUUUGCAGCGUGGUUGAGUUCUGAUGUGAUUUUUCUUUUUAAUGUGUUUCAAUUUGGACAGCACGCUUCGUUUUUAACAUGUAAUCUGGUAGUACAGAAGUUUACAUGAUUCUGUUGAAAUUCUGACAGCUUUGUGGGGCUCUCUGUAAUUAUGACCUUCUGAUCAGCAACUUGUGCAAGUACCUAGAAGUCUCAAGCACACUGCACCUUGUUAAUUUUGAUGUGCUGCAGUUGGAGAUGAGUGCCUCUGCUUUGUACUACUUGUGUCAUGUGAAAUAAAUUGGUCUUUAUUUUUAACUUAUGUGUUUGUUCCCAAAUAAUUGGUCUUUGAUCAUGUACAGGUUGGACAUUAAGUUUGUGUUUCUUCUAGUGUUGAAGUUGGUGCCAAUGUUUUUGUGUUUCUUCUAGUGCUGAAGUUGGUGCCGAAGUUAUACACGGUGCCAUUGGUGCCGAGCGGAGCGUUUUUUCCUAUGAUGCAAUGGAAUAUUUA